rnacentral:lncRNA from 1 species
GGGGAGGGCAAGGGGGGUCCCAAUAACAGCAAAACAGCAAAUUGAUUUGGCUCAUAACAGAUAACAAGGAAUUAAAAUGGACAAAAACAGAUAACAGUAAAUGAAAUAUUAAAAUAAUUCGAUCUUUGACAAAUCAGUAAUUCUUAUUACGGAUAUAAUCCUUUGUAAUGCAUUCCAUUUUCUAUGACUUUGUUUUUAGUAUUAAUUUAU